rnacentral:lncRNA from 1 species
CGAAAAUCAAGAUGGUAACCAUGACAGUGCCAUUGAAGAAUGUUUUGGAGGAGAGAUAGAAUAUUGCCCAUCUGCUACAAUCACGUGUGAAAAACAAAAAUACAUGGUCCAUUAUUAAAGAACUUGAAACAAUACCUUAAUCUUCAGAAGAAACAAAACAAAUACAAAGUGGACAGAAAGACGUAUUAGGCAUCAUAAAUAAAUGAAGAGAAAUGUCUCUAAUAAUGAUAGGCAUCAAGGAAGGAAUGAUAUAGAAUCUUGAUGAGUGUAUUCACUGCAGGGAUGGCUCCAACGUUGCUUGAGUUAAAAAUAAAGAUAGUCAGUUAACAGGAAGCCUUGCUCUUGUGAUUCAUAGAGAGAUGUCGAACUUUAAACUUAUGAUUGGCAUAAGACAGGAUAAUAACUACAUUCAUGGUUUUUUCAUUAACAUGGUACACCUACAACUAUGUAAGGAAUAAAAAAAUGAAUGAUAAUAAAUCAAUAAUAUAAUAAAUGAUCAAUACCGGUCGAGUAUGUAAGAUAAAAUCCUUCUCCAGUCGAUCAUCAAUACCUCUUUUAAAAAAGCUAUUUCAGAGUGAGUCUGUAACCAAACGUCUUGUCCAUGACCAUCUUCAACACUUUCUUCCUAAAAUCUUCAUGUAAGAAUGUUCCCAGAAAUGACUUCAGUGUGUGGUUUCGGGACAUUUAAUAUAAAGGGAGAACGGAUGGAUUUGAAACGUAUCCUCUUUCAGUUGAAGUAGGGGAAGCAUAUCCUCACCGAUAAAUAGCUUUGAAUACAUGAUCAGUGCCCCGUAUCAAAUGUAAUGAGUAAAUUAAUAUUCCACAAGGAAUCCUGGAUGAAGUAAAUAGGUUGAAGAAUAAUAAACAAUAGCUAGAUAAAUAAAUACUCAUUUGGUAGUUUGGCAUAGUAAGGCAGAAGUACAUUAAAAUCUUUAAUUUAGCUUGAGAAAUAGAUAUCAACGUCAGCUAAAGGAAAGCAGAUGAUUGAUCUACUUUAUAUUACGUCAUCAUAUUUGAAUAUAAUUCUAAUUAUUUCCACAGUUGGGAGUAGUACUAUCCAAUCAUAAAUGUAUUAGCCUGUUACCUAAAAUAUUAGGAAUAGUCUAUUUACUGACGUCAUAAAUUAGAUAAUAACUAAUGAUAGACGACAUUUUGGGGGCUCAUAAUUAAUAUUUUUACUGCAAUUAACCUAUUUACAAUAAAUAUUUUGAUGACACUUCAUUAAAAGCCUUUAUAAACCAAAAUAUACUAUACUACUCCAUUCAAUAUAUUAUUUAUCAAUUAUGAAAUACUAUACUAAUCCUCAUUAAUUUUAUGGACUUUAGAUAUUAUAAUCUACAAAACCUACCUACUUUAUAAGGUUUAGUGAUUUAAAAUACAUAUGGCUUGCAUGACGUUGUAACAUGAAUUACUAACACAAAAAUUUACAUCGUAUUUCCAUGUCAGCUGUCGAUGACUCCUUUUCUUUUCCUAUAAUCAGGGUUCUGAAUGUUGAUUAGUUGAUUUAGAUAUUGUUCAAACUAUUAUUGGAUAAUAGUUUCUUAGUCAGUAAAAAUCAGCUUACUACCAACUUAUUUUGGGCCUUUUAUCUGUUUAUUUUCGUAAUAAAGGUGGCGUGAUACAAUAUUAAUUAUAUAAUUUGUAUGUAUAUGUAUAAAAUCUUUUAAAAACAACAAUAAACAUACUUGAGAAAAUAUACUUGUUCCAAUUUA